AUUGAACGCUGGCGGCAUGCCUUACACAUGCAAGUCGAACGGCAGCACGGGAGCAAUCCUGGUGGCGAGUGGCGAACGGGUGAGUAAUAUAUCGGAACGUGCCCAGUAGUGGGGGAUAGCCCGGCGAAAGCCGGAUUAAUACCGCAUACGACCUGAGGGUGAAAGCGGGGGAUCGCAAGACCUCGCGCUAUUGGAGCGGCCGAUAUCAGAUUAGCUAGUUGGUGGGGUAAAGGCCUACCAAGGCUACGAUCUGUAGUUGGUCUGAGAGGACGACCAGCCACACUGGGACUGAGACACGGCCCAGACUCCUACGGGAGGCAGCAGUGGGGAAUUUUGGACAAUGGGCGCAAGCCUGAUCCAGCAAUGCCGCGUGCAGGAAGAAGGCCUUCGGGUUGUAAACUGCUUUUGUCAGGGAAGAAAUCUUCUGGGCUAAUACCCCGGGAGGAUGACGGUACCUGAAGAAUAAG
rnacentral:rRNA from 1 species